AUAGAAUGACGAGUCCCAAACAGGACGAAACGCGCGUCCUGGAU
rnacentral:hammerhead_ribozyme from 1 species